AAGACCCUCCAACGCCACUGGUCGAUGAGGUAGCUGAAGGGGAUAAAGGCGAUCUUGUCGAGGGCCAUCUUCAUUAGAAAGUUGAUGUCAUACUCUGCCAAGAGAAAGACAGAAAGAACACAGCCUCAGGUCUGACCUGAAGUCCUUCCGGUUAUAGAAGUCCCAGGCAGAGGCGUGGCACACCACCUCCCGUCCAUCAGCUGGUUUCUCCAGCAUUGACUCCGCCCAGAACUCAGGAGGCAUGGGUGAGAGCCCCAGCGAGGUGAAGAAUUCCUCUGAUACCCGGAACAUGUGUGUGGCGUUCCAGCCCUGGCCAGCAAGCAGGGAAACAGGAUCCUUCACUAAGGGGCCACAGGCUUCCAGGCUCCCAGACUCAUGUCCUCAGGUAUGGUCCACAACAAGGCUGCUGCUAACCCUGACCCUGAAGCCAAAGCCAUCGACUUGACCCCUAGCUCUGCUCUAUUCCAGUUUUCCAUUGGCUGUAAAUUCUUGGCUCUAAAUAAACCUCAGUGUCCGCUUCUCCAAAGCA
ensembl:antisense